GGGGGGGGGCAUUACACCAUUGUGCAGGCGUUCGUAACGCCUGAUGGUAGGCGGUUACAACCGUCCGCCUUCCCAGUGAUCGAGGCUACAAGAAGCCCCGAUCGGCUACCAUUUCACCACCCGUUCAUCCUCCUCCUCCACUGUUUGUCUCCCUCUCUCACAAUCCUCUCCGAUUGGCAGGACCCGGUGUUAGACCCACGCCGCCGGAGUAAAGGGCCGCAUCGCCGGAGUAGGAGGCGGACGACCACCUUCAGAUCAGGUGAUCAAGGAUUUGUCACCCGGACGUAAGAAAUUGGAAAGUAUAUUGCUAUGAUUAAGACCACUAGGAGCAGGGAGCUUGAUGUUAUUCAGGAUUGGGGUAAUUGAAAAUGUUAUGUAAUAAUCAGAUUUUAGAAGCUCUGUACUGUUCCAACUUUAUGAACAAUGUUAUGACAUUAGUAAAUGAAACUAUUUAUUUUUAUUAUGAAA